GACGAACGCUGGCGGCGUGCCUAAUACAUGCAAGUAGAACGCUGAAGAGAGGAGCUUGCUCUUCUUGGAUGAGUUGCGAACGGGUGAGUAACGCGUAGGUAACCUGCCUUGUAGCGGGGGAUAACUAUUGGAAACGAUAGCUAAUACCGCAUAACAAUGGAUGACACAUGUCAUUUAUUUGAAAGGGGCAAUUGCUCCACUACAAGAUGGACCUGCGUUGUAUUAGCUAGUAGGUGAGGUAACGGCUCACCUAGGCGACGAUACAUAGCCGACCUGAGAGGGUGAUCGGCCACACUGGGACUGAGACACGGCCCAGACUCCUACGGGAGGCAGCAGUAGGGAAUCUUCGGCAAUGGGGGCAACCCUGACCGAGCAACGCCGCGUGAGUGAAGAAGGUUUUCGGAUCGUAAAGCUCUGUUGUAAGUCAAGAACGAGUGUGAGAGUGGAAAGUUCACACUGUGACGGUAGCUUACCAGAAAGGGACGGCUAACUACGUGCCAGCAGCCGCGGUAAUACGUAGGUCCCGAGCGUUGUCCGGAUUUAUUGGGCGUAAAGCGAGCGCAGGCGGUUUGAUAAGUCUGAAGUUAAAGGCUGUGGCUCAACCAUAGUUCGCUUUGGAAACUGUCAAACUUGAGUGCAGAAGGGGAGAGUGGAAUUCCAUGUGUAGCGGUGAAAUGCGUAGAUAUAUGGAGGAACACCGGUGGCGAAAGCGGCUCUCUGGUCUGUAACUGACGCUGAGGCUCGAAAGCGUGGGGAGCGAACAGGAUUAGAUACCCUGGUAGUCCACGCCGUAAACGAUGAGUGCUAGGUGUUGGAUCCUUUCCGGGAUUCAGUGCCGCAGCUAACGCAGUAAGCACUCCGCCUGGGGAGUACGACCGCAAGGUUGAAACUCAAAGGAAUUGACGGGGGCCCGCACAAGCGGUGGAGCAUGUGGUUUAAUUCGAAGCAACGCGAAGAACCUUACCAGGUCUUGACAUCCCGAUGCUAUUUCUAGAGAUAGAAAGUUACUUCGGUACAUCGGUGACAGGUGGUGCAUGGUUGUCGUCAGCUCGUGUCGUGAGAUGUUGGGUUAAGUCCCGCAACGAGCGCAACCCCUAUUGUUAGUUGCCAUCAUUCAGUUGGGCACUCUAGCGAGACUGCCGGUAAUAAACCGGAGGAAGGUGGGGAUGACGUCAAAUCAUCAUGCCCCUUAUGACCUGGGCUACACACGUGCUACAAUGGUUGGUACAACGAGUUGCGAGUCGGUGACGGCAAGCUAAUCUCUUAAAGCCAAUCUCAGUUCGGAUUGUAGGCUGCAACUCGCCUACAUGAAGUCGGAAUCGCUAGUAAUCGCGGAUCAGCACGCCGCGGUGAAUACGUUCCCGGGCCU
rnacentral:rRNA from 1 species